GCCCUGGUGGCACAAUGGUUAAGUGCUCAGCUGCUAACUGAAAGGUUGGAGGUUUGAACCCACCCAGCGGCU
rfam:Loxodonta africana unplaced genomic scaffold scaffold_55, whole genome shotgun sequence.